AUUGGCUGGUUAAAUCCGGCUCCACAUACGGAUGUUCCCCGUUUGUCGAAGGGUCACAGCAGCUGACAGAAGCCACAACAAUAACAUUAGUAUUGCGUCAUAAUUAACAUUGUCGUGGCUGGACUGAAAUUCACUGGAGCGUCACAGUUUACCGCUGGAAUUCACUUCCACACCUCGAUGACACCAUCAGAGACCUUAUGCUCCACGUUCUCCUCCAUCUUCUGUUUGACGAUGCCCCACAGAUCCCCCUGUAGAAGGGUUGUCAAAUUUAUGGCCCAGAAACGCAAAUCUAAUCCAGCACAUGGGGGUACAGAGAGAACACGUUCACUAUUUUUCAACAAGUAACUGUUGUUGCUGAUUUUGUCACCUGGGGGGCGCACUGACAACCAUUUACCACUUAAAUGACAUUCUGAAAUUGGCUGACACCUGAUAUUGAUUGAUGCUCUUGCAAAAUUUCAGUCACCAGCUUCAGUUCAAGAGGUUGGUUUGGCAGAACCCUUUUAUGUUAAUGCCCUGCUACAAUUUGUAUGUAUUUUAUGUAUACAUUUACAAGACAGGCGGGGAAGUGCAAACUCUUUCUGAAUAGUUACCACUUGUAUGUAUUUUUAUGUAUACAUUUACAAGUCAGGCAGAUAACUGCAUGCUCUUUCUGAGGGGCAGUGAUCCGGUGCCCUUUUGGGACUGGUCAGGGCGCUUCGGUCGGGCUUGGGACCUCCCUGGGUCCUGGGUGGUCGGUGGCGUCCCCCUGUUUGGGUCCCCUGCUGGACGGGCUCACCCUUCCUCGAUAUGCUGGCUCAGCAACUCCGUACACCAGUCGACUAACAUGCAUGUGAUAUGGUGUUCAUUCACUUGUAAGUUCGAUAGAAACACUAUAAACUUGAAUUACUUGUGCUGGGAUCACUUAUAACAACACAGGUUAUAAUAACAUAUCAACUCACAGGUUCUUACAGGUGUUUAGACACUAAAAAAAGAAUCCCACCGCAGCACUCGACAGUAGCACUGCCUUGCUCAUUUUCCCACAUCCUGUCUAACCGUUUUCUGUUGUCUCUUAUCUGGUUCUCUUGGUAAGUUGUUGCAUGUCCUCACCUCGACCCAUCCGUGCUUGUAAACAACUGAGCCUUUUCAAAUUCAAAAUGAGAAUAUUUGGAAACAAUAAUGUUAAUCAGUUUGAACAUGUACUGUAUGCAAGUGAAUAUAGCCUCAAAAGGAAUUGUCAUUUAUCAAUGUAUUCUGUUUUUAUUUAGCGUUUCCACAACAUCCCAACUUCAUUGGAAUUGGGUUUUGUAAAAUGCACUUGAAAUAUUACAUAGUUUUCAAAAUUUUAGGAAAAUAAAAAUCCAGAAAAUGU